rnacentral:rRNA from 1 species
GACGAACGCUGGCGGCGUGCUUAACACAUGCAAGUCGAACGGAAAGGCCCUGCUUUUGUGGGGUGCUCGAGUGGCGAACGGGUGAGUAACACGCGAGUAACCUGCCCUUGACUUUGGGAUAACUUCAGGAAACUGGGGCUAAUACCGGAUAGGAGCUCCUGCUGCAUGGUGGGGGUUGGAAAGUUUCGGCGGUUGGGGAUGGGCUCGCGGCUUAUCAGCUUGUUGGUGGGGUAGUGGCUUACCAAGGCUUUGACGGGUAGCCGGCCUGAGAGGGUGACCGGCCACAUUGGGACUGAGAUACGGCCCAGACUCCUACGGGAGGCAGCAGUGGGGAAUAUUGCACAAUGGGCGGAAGCCUGAUGCAGCAACGCCGCGUGCGGGAUGACGGCCUUCGGGUUGUAAACCGCUUUCGCCUGUGACGAAGCGUGAGUGACGGUAAUGGGUAAAGAAGCACCGGCUAACUACGUG